CCCUGGGGCAGCUCUGCUUUGAACGUUGCUGUCCAUUUAAUAAACAGCCCCUCUCUUCUGACCAGCGCCUUCGCCUUCCAACACCAGGAACAGCAAGCAGCAGGACUGAGUAUAAACACUUGGAAGACAAAGAAAAGAAAAAAAGAAUGGAAGCAGCCAGAGAGAUUUUUCAGAGGUCAACUCAGCUGGCCGAGGAAGCCAACCUGAUGUUAGCAGGAGAGUGAGAAGGAAGGAAUAAAGAAAACCUUUGAAGCUUCCAGGAAAGUCAAUCCAGUCCCUGAUAUAUCUGCUCUGAUAUUAGAGUCCGAGUUGCUGGAGUUACCUGUCUGGUAUCUUUUAUGAGCACUGCUUGUACACAAAAUAGUCUUCUGUGUUCCCUUUUCAUGAAUGUAUUUUGGAAUGUAAAUGUCUUUUCUAAUUGUUUAAAAUUAUUUACUAACAAUUUUACAGAAAAAGGUGCAUAGAA